rnacentral:rRNA from 1 species
UACAGAGGGUGCGAGCGUUGUCCGGAAUCACUGGGCGUAAAGGGCGCGUAGGCGGCUCGGUAAGGUUGCGGUGAAAGCCCGGGGCUCAACCCCGGGUCGGCCGUGGCAACUGCUGGGCUCGAGCACUGUAGAGGCAGGUGGAAUUCCGGGUGUAGCGGUGGAAUGCGUAGAGAUCCGGAAGAACACCGGUGGCGAAGGCGGCCUGCUGGGCAGUGACUGUAAUGGUCAAUAGCUGACGCUGAGGCGCGACAGCGUGGGGAGCAAACAGG